rnacentral:miRNA from 1 species
UAUUGUAUUGGCCAAAAAGUUCGUUCAGAUUUUUCUGUAACAUCUUAUGGAAAAACCCAAACAAACUUUUUGGUCAAUCCAAUA